UAGCCUAGUGGUAAGGCUAAGGAUCGCCAAUCCGGAGAUGGCGGGUUCGAUUCCCGU
rnacentral:tRNA from 1 species